rnacentral:rRNA from 1 species
ANGUCCUGUAGUGGGGGAUAGCCCGGCGAAAGCCGGAUUAAUACCGCAUACGAUCUGAGGAUGAAAGCGGGGGACCUUCGGGCCUCGCGCUAUAGGGUUGGCCGAUGGCUGAUUAGCUAGUUGGUGGGGUAAAGGCCUACCAAGGCGACGAUCAGUAGCUGGUCUGAGAGGACGACCAGCCACACUGGGACUGAGACACGGCCCAGACUCCUACGGGAGGCAGCAGUGGGGAAUUUUGGACAAUGGGCGAAAGCCUGAUCCAGCAAUGCCGCGUGUGUGAAGAAGGCCUUCGGGUUGUAAAGCACUUUUGUCCGGAAAGAAAUCCUUGGUUCUAAUAUAGCCGGGGGAUGACGGUACCGGAAGAAUAAGCACCGGCUAACUACNUGCCAGCAGCCGCGGUAAUACGUAGGGUGCAAGCGUUAAUCGGAAUUACUGGGCGUAAAGCGUGCGCANGCGGUUUGCUAANACCNAUGUGAAAUCCCCGGGCUCAACCUGGGAACUGCAUUGGUGACUGGCNNCUAGA